rnacentral:rRNA from 1 species
GUACCGUGAGGGAAAGGUGAAAAGCACCCCGGGAGGGGAGUGAAAUAGACCUGAAACCAUGUGCUUACAAGCAGUCAGAGCCCGUCUUCGGGCGGGUGAUGGCGUGCCUAUUGAAGAAUGAGCCAGCGAGUUAAUCUACGUGGCUGGUUAAACGAUUAAGUCGUGCAGCCAAAGCGAAAGCAAGUCUGAAUAGGGCGUUAUAGUCGCGUGGAUUAGACCCGAAGCCGGGUGAGCUAUCCAUGGCCAGGGUGAAGCUCCGAUAAAAUCGGAGUGGAGGCCCGAACUGGUCAACGUUGCAAAGUUGUCAGAUGAGCUGUGGAUAGAGGUGAAAUGCCAAACGAACCCGGGGAUAGCUGGUUCUCCCCGAAAUGUAUUGAGGUACAGCCUCGGAUGGUCACUAAUGGAGGUAGGGCUCUGGAUGGAUUAGGGGGAUAAUAUCUUACCAACUCCAACUAAACCGCAAAUACCAUUAGUCAAAGUCCGGGAGUGAGACUACGGGGGAUAAGCUCCGUGGUCGAGAGGGAAACAGCCCAGACCAUCAGCUAAGGUCCCUAAGAACAGACUAAGUGGCAAAGGAAGUAGUACUGCCCAGACAGCCAGGAGGUUGGCUCAGAAGCAGCCACCCUUUAAAGAGUGCGUAACAGCUCACUGGUUAAGUGGUGCUGCGCCGAUAAUCCAACGGGGCUCAAGUCUGUCACCGAAGCUAUGGCUUUUUCCGAUUUAUCGGAGAGAGGGUAGGGGAGCGUUCUCUUCGCCAAGAAGUCGUUGCGUGAGCAACGGUGGAGCGGAGAGAAGUGAGAAUGCUGGCAUGAGUAGCGCUAGGUGUGUGAGAAACACAUCCAUCGAAUAUCUGAGGUUUCCUAUGCAAGGUUAAUCCGCAUAGGGUUAGUCGGGCCUAAGCCGAGGCCGAGAGGCGUAGGCGAUGGACAACGGGUUAUUAUUCCCGUACCGUUUUUACUGAGGUAAAGGGGGGACGCGGGAGGAUAGGCUAGGCAUACCCAUUGGACAUGGUGUGUCAACCAUCAAAGGCAAUGCUGGAGCAGGCAAAUCCACUCCGGAUGUUAAGCUGAAGGUGGAAGAAAGUUGAGGGGAGACCCAAGGCGAUUUAGCUGAUUCCACGCCGCCAAGAAAAUCCUCGUUACCGUUGAUGUAAGAACGCCCGUACCGCAAACCGACUCUGGUAGAUAGGGAUAAACGUCCCAAGGUGAUCGAGAUAACCCUCGUUAAGGAACUCGGCAAUCUAACCCCGUAACUUAGGGAAAAGGGGUGCCCUUCUUUUUAGAAGGGUGACAUUAAAUUGGUCCAAGCAACUGUUUAACAAAAACACAGGUCUGUGCUAAAGGCGUAAGCCGAUGUAUACAGGCUGAUACCUGCCCAGCGCCAGUAGGUUAAGGGGAGGAGUUAGGAGCAAUCCGAAGCCCUGAACUGAAGCCCUGGUAAGCGGCGGCCGUAACUAUAACGGUCCUAAGGUAG